UGCCCUUCCCAAUGUAGGUGGGCCUCACCCAAUCCACUGAGCACCUGAAUAGAACAAAUAUACAGAAGGAAAAAGAAUUCACUGUUGACUCCUUGAGCUGGCACAUUGGUCUUCUCUUGCACUUGGACUUGAACUUCCAUCAUCAACUACUCCAGUUCCCAGGCCUUGAGGUUUGAGCUGGAACCACACACCAGUCACCAGCUCUCCUGGGUUUCCAGCUUGCAGACUGCAGAUCAUGGGACUUCCUCUCCCAUAAACAAUUAAAUGCUCAACCUGGAAACGAUACAGAUUACCUCUACUCCUUGAUCAGAACUGGUCACACAGCCCCACCUAACCACAGAGAGACCAGGAGGUAGAAUCCCAGCCGAAUCCCAGGAGGUGAAGAGCUGGAAAUAUUCGUGAUGUCUCUCAUGCUGCCACCAAGGUCAAUAUGCUUCUGCAAAUACUUCCAAACCUGCAAAGAAGCACCGGAGGGACAAUGCCCACUGAAGGUGCCAGUGUCUCCUUGAUGCCACUGUAGCCUGGUGUUCUGUCCCGAGCCCCCUGUGAUCCAGCCAAAGGUCCUGCUCCCUAAGCCCAGUGGGGCUGGAGGACAAUCACAGUGACAGAUGCAGUUUGGGACUUACUCAUCCCUCUCACUGACAUUGACCUUGAACCAGAGUCCUUGAGCCAAACUUAUCCUGGCUCUCAGAAGACAGCUGGAAAGAUGUGAGAUGGAAUGCACUGUAAGCUCAUGGGAAGAACAUGCUGGGCUUCCCUAACUGGUUUUUCUUAAUAUCAAUCUGUCACGCAAUGAAGAGGAACUCCUUCCCUCAGAGUCAAGACAAAACAUCUCUUUGUUUUAACGGCCAAGUCAGAGGUUUGGGGUAGCUGGCGGAGGUGUCCUGGUGAAGAGGGGGAUCUUGCCUCAGAGGCGGGUGGGUACCCCGAUGCCAGGAACACUAACGAGUUACAGAAGAGGUAUGCAUUUCUGCUCCGCCUCUCACUUUCUCUAAUCUCUCGGCUAUGCUCACUAAAAAAGACAAAAGUAAUACGCUCACAUGUUAGUAGUCGUUUCUCCUGGGUGAUGAGGUGGAGGGUCUUUAUUUCUGAUCUUUACAUUUUUUCCGUGCUUUCUAAAUUCUCUAUGAUUAGUGUAUAUUAAUGUGGUAAUUAAGAAAAAAAAAUCUACAAUUCAAAUCAAACUUCCUUGAGGUUGAGAAUUGUUUGAUUGGAAGUACUGGCAACUGAACAGAAUACCAAAAGGCUCUUCCUUACUCCAGUAGGACUUCUGGCACAUAUGGCAACAAGACCCCCUGAUUCCUGAAUCCUUCAGGCUUCUCACUUUUCUGUGUAGUCCAUGUAUCAAGUCUCACUUACAUUCUCUUGCAUUAGCUUAAGUUUUCAGCCGUCCCAAGUGUGGAGGAAAGAGCUUAGAUUCUAAUGAUAUGUUUUUAUAACAGGAAUGGAUCUGCAUGGACCUCAAAGUGGUCAUGCUUAUCACUCGUGGCAGGGGGAAGCAUAUAUUAAAGAUUCAAUUUAUAUUACUAUGUGGAGUCAACUGUGUUAAGUGCUGUUAAAAGUGAAACAGGUAGGAGUGGUUCCUGUCCCUAAGGAGCUAGCUGCACUUUGGGAAAAGUUAUUUCUUUGACUUUAAAAAUGUUAAGUGUUGGCAGAAAACAGCAAUUCUUCUUUGAUCAAGACAUCUGUGAGACUCAUAAAAGACAAAGCCAUGUCAGAGUGAGCUACAUCGUGGACCACAGCAGUUUUUAUAGCCUGGAUAAAGAGGAAGAAGCUCUUUUAAGAAAUCAAAACGAAUAAUACAGAGUGCUAGCCCAUAAUUGUUUUGAUUCAUCGCCAAAAUAAACAUUUCUUAUACUUCUUUAUA